AAAGGUGGACGCGAUCUUAAGUUCAUCAGCUUAUCAAUGACUGGAUGCUUUUCCUUGGUUGCUCUUUUGUUACUGCUAGUGAGCAGUAGAGGAUAUGGUUUACCAGGCCGCUGUUGUGCACUAGUAGCUUUACAAUGGGUAAGAUUGACAUCCCCUAGAUAAAGCAUUUAUGAUCACUCAUUUUCAUGUUUAUUUGUUUAUAUGGUUUGGCUGAAAGCAUAAGAUUUCCCCGGCUACUUUUUUCUUCGCACUUCAACGCAUUCCAUCUCCCAAGGGCAUACUUAACUAGGAACCUACAGUCCAGCACAAACUGGGGGAAGUAAAAGCUUCCUAGUUUAUUUAUCCAAUAAUUAGUAUUGGCCUUACAAAAUGGUUUAUUUCAUUUUUCUUUCUCAUUGCUGCUCUCAGUCAUUGAAAACUAACAGUCUUUUGUUCUAGUUGUCAAAGAUCAAGUUGUUCUUGUUCUACGACGUCCUGACAAGGCCAAUAGCACAUUCAAGGCAUUCCAGAUGGUAGUAUUCUCUGCAUGAUUCGUUGUCGGAAUCGUAUACGGUUCUGUGUUUCUUUACAAGAUUGUUUUGUGAUGUGUAAACUGAUUCAAAGCAAAUUUGCUUCUAACUUGAUCUUUGUUGAAAAAGCUCCAAGAUAGAGAGGCUUCUGUCUUGAGAAUCAAAGGCUGUAAAAGGCCCAACUAUGUGUGCUCA